rnacentral:rRNA from 1 species
UCGAGUGACCAAAGCAAGAGGGAUCACCUGAAUCCAUUCCGAACUCAGCAGUUAAGCCUCUUUACGCCGACGAUACCAGAGAUGGAAAAAUAGGGAGUCGCUUUUU